rnacentral:ncRNA from 1 species
GUAAUCUUGUCGGAGUGCCCUCUGGGCUGAGACCGUUUAUUCGGGAUCCGUUGAACCUGAUCAGGCUAGCACCUGCGAAGGAAACAAGCAUUCAGCUGCA